rnacentral:rRNA from 1 species
CUAUAAGACGAGAAGACCCCAUGGAGCUUUAAAUCCAACAGCACCUAUUACCCAUACAUCUUUAUAUUUUUUUAGCAAAUGCUCGUUCGGUUUUAGGUUGGGGUGACCAUGGAGUAAAAAAUAACCUCCACGAAAAAAGGCAUAAAACCCUUAUCAAAGAGCCACAUCUCUAUGAAUUAGUAAACUAAUUUCUGAUGAUCCGAUAUUCGAUCAACGAACCAAGUUACCCUGGGGAUAACAGCGCAAUCCGCCUUAAGAGCCCCUAUCGA